UAAAAUUAAACCAUUUCUUUCUAAACCCCGAACUCACCUUCCCAUAAUCUACUAUGUUGGCCCCGGUCCCUACUUGGACAAGUGCACUUCGACUUAGGCCUAAAGCCUAAGUUGAGGGUGGCUAAUGUAAAAAGUAACUUCAAUCUUGGCCCUGACCCGACAUCAGGUAUUGUGCACCUCAACUAAUGGAAAAUCCAUAAGUUCAGGGUGGAUAUGAAAGAGG
rnacentral:lncRNA from 1 species